GACGAACGCUGGCGGCGUGCUUAACACAUGCAAGUCGAACGGAAAGGCCCUGCUUUUGUGGGGUGCUCGAGUGGCGAACGGGUGAGUAACACGUGAGUAACCUGCCCUUGACUUUGGGAUAACUUCAGGAAACUGGGGCUAAUACCGGAUAGGAGCUCCUGCUGCAUGGUGGGGGUUGGAAAGUUUCGGCGGUUGGGGAUGGACUCGCGGCUUAUCAGCUUGUUGGUGGGGUAGUGGCUUACCAAGGCUUUGACGGGUAGCCGGCCUGAGAGGGUGACCGGCCACAUUGGGACUGAGAUACGGCCCAGACUCCUACGGGAGGCAGCAGUGGGGAGUCUUGCACAAUGGGCAGAAGCCUGAUGCAGCAACGCCGCGUGCGGGAUGACGGCCUUCGGGUUGUAAACCGCUUUCGCCUGAGAAGAAGCGUGAGUGACGGUAAUGGGUAAAGAAGCACCGGCUAACUACGUG
rnacentral:rRNA from 1 species